CGCGGAGCGGCGGGAGGGCGCCGCGGGGAGCUGAGGGCCGGGGGCGCCGAACCGCUGGAGGCCUCGGGGACGCCCGGGUUCAGGCAACCGGGCCCUGUCGCCCGCCCCGCGGGGCCCGGGUCCGGCGUCCCCUCGCCGUCCCGGGAGCGACCGGGGCGUGUGCGAGCCUGGCAGCCGGGGGACGUGAGCGCGGACGCGCGGGGCGGGAUCCAGGCGCGCGGGGCUGCGAAGGAGCGGGAGCCCCCGGCUGUCCCCGGCGAGCGCCGCGCGCACUCCGUCCCCCGGGGGCCGCCUCGGGCGGGCGGAGACGGACCGAGGACGCCCCUCCCGGGCUGGGGCUGGGGCUGGGGGGCCUGCUUCGGGCCCACCUGGGAACGGGGGGCCGGGAGAGAGAGGGAGAGACGCUCCGGAAGGCGGGGGAGGGGGGAGCGCAGAGACAGAGCAACGGUCGCAGCGAAGGGGGCAUCGCUCUCGGGGUGUCCCAGGGGAAAAGGCGCCGAGGGCCGCGGGGACCGCUCCCUGCACCCGCCCAGGCCGGGCCCGCCGUCCUUGGGGAGCGCUGGGACCUGCCUCCCGCCGUUUGCUAACGUGAGCCCAGAUCCUCCCCAGUGCACCGCCGUUUUAAACCCACCGCAAACUCGAAAAGUCUGUCUCUUUUAGAUAAACAAGGGGAAAGAAGAAAGAAAACACGGUUUUUUAUUAUACGGUGCCCCAGUGACUUCAGGGCAAAGACUAGCCGUGCCGAGGGUUUUCCCUAAAACUUAAGGCGAGCUUGACAGCCAAGCCAGCAUCCGUGUGCGCCAGGGCACGAGGACAGCGGGUGGAGGCCCCGGGAGGGAGGAGUGCCGCAUGCAGGCAGGGCUUCGUGGGAAACCUCUGUCCCUUCGGCUAAAUGUUGUCCUGAACCAAAAACUGCUCGCAGAAAAUAGUUUAUUAAAAGGAAGCGGGGGAAAGCGCCUCCUGUGCAGGGUCGGCUUCACGGGCUUAUGACCCGUGUCGCCGCAGCGAAAGUCCCAGCGUUUGGAAGACUUGUAUUGGUUUAUCCGACACUGUUGCCCUCUUGAAAUUUCUAAUUUUGGAAAGAGAGCCCAUCCUGCUCAGAUGAUUUUACACUCCCCCCCCCCACAUCGCAUGAUUCUUUUAAAGUUUAAUUAGCAUAAUGAAUUAAAGUAAUCUAUUGUUAAAAGCCCUAAAGUAAUUUUGCAGCUAGGAAUGAACCCAUUACCUCACAUGUAGCUUUGUAAAGCUGGUGCUCAUAGCAAGCUAGACACCUCAACUUUCUGGUUUCAGGCAUUUCACAAUGUAUUUGUAAGGAUCAAAUGUUUUCCAUAUUUUAUGCCGUUUAAGAGACCUUUUAAAAUUCCACACGGUCCACACAAGGCCUUGAGAAAGAGGAAGAUAAUUCACCCUGUAGCUCUGAUGUAACCUCAAAUGACAUUCCCUAUAAUUAAAAUGAAAAUUUGGUAAUUAUUUAUUGUGUUACCUGGUGUCAAGUAAUAUUUUCUAAAAGACUUCCCAGAAAAACAGGAAGUACUUGUGACAGGACUCUUCUCUAUGACAAGUUCCCAAAAGGUGUGUUUUAAUAUAGUCAAAUCUUAUUUAAUAUAUACCAAGAGAGCUUGUUAUUUAAAGGAAUUCUCUGGGAAGGAGUUCUUUUCUAAAGCAAAUAUCACCUUACGGUUACUCUAGGUUUCCCUGGGCUCGUUUUACUCAAAGCAAUCUAAUUACAGUGACCUUUGUCUGGAAUGUGGGGUUGAUGAGGUCUUCGAUCAAUACUCAUCAAGUCCAGUUUGCUUUGGCUGGUCUCUGGACAAGGACCCGCCACGUCGCUGCCGGUGCUGCUGCUGGCCCAUGUACACACACAGCUUCCAUCUUCCGGAGGAAUGGUGAGAAAGUUCCAGUGAAUCAAUGAAAGGCCGCCAUCCUCGUUUGAGUAUUCUGAAAGUGUAUUUCUCCAAUGAGUGAUUGAAUAGUGUCAUCUUUGAUUACGGCAAAGAGCACUUUUUAGAUUGGAGAGGCCUCCAAAUUUAAUUCACAUAGUGGCAAUAUGGAAGUUAAGGGGACAUCUGAUUAUUUUUUUCUGUCAAAGACUCAAAGUCAGAGAACUGAUUUCAAAGGGGGGUUUUGGGCCUCUCUUUUGCUUCCUCUUUUUAACUUGGUUGUUGUUUGAAAAGAUAAGUCCAGAGAAACAAGUGAUGAUAAUGAAUGGGGAGUUUUCUAAAUUACACAGAACCCAGAAGAGAUCACAAAGUCAUUUACACUGGAUUCAGAGGGUUAUCUUUCAAAGGGUACAGCUUUGUCUUCAAUUUAUAGCGUUUUUGAUCAAAGGACAUUGCAAGAUUUAUAGACUCUAAAAGUGUGAGGAAAGAAUAUAUACAUAGAAGAAAAUGCUGGAAGAAAAUGCUGCACUAUUAACUGUGUUUAGGUACAGUUGCAUAGUAUUAUUAAUUUCUUUUUAUACUUUUCUAUAUUUAACAUAAUGGCCAUAUAGCAGCUUAUUAAAAAAAAGUUUUAAAACAUAUUUAUGAAAUGUCACCAGAAGUACAAGUGGACAUUAAUAAUCAGAGCAUGGGAAAAGUUACUCUUCACGGAAACAAUUUUAUAAACGACCAGCUAUAUGCCAUUGUGUUGGUGUUUAAAAUUAUUAAAAUUAUUAACUCCAAUUUUUGAAGAAAAAGUUACAUGUGUGCCUCAUUUCUUUUUUUUCUGGAAUUGGUCUCAAAUGAUUAUGCACAAGUUACCCCUAUAUCUGUUGCAAAGGACAGAAUAAAAGGUCAUGUUUAAAAUCAUCCAGUUCUCUAACUCUGCAACUCGGAUUUCCUUAAUUGGAGGAGCCCACUGGCAGCAGAUGGGAAUUGUAGUCAUGGACGGGGUCUGGAAGAAGGUGUCAAAAAGAUUUGUGAAAGACUGACUUUAUAGUGUUAUGUACACACUAUAAUUAUCCUCUCUUGUGUAUUUAGUGUACCAAUUUAUUUAACAGAUAGUUCUAGUGGAAGAUUUAGUCCUGGAUAUUGGUGUCUUUUUUUGGAUAUUGGUGUUUUGAAAUGAGCAGGAAGCCCCCUCCCCUCAUAGACUAGCUAUAAAUUCAAUCCUUAUAGUUCUACAUCUGAGCCUCAUACAAUUUUAAGCCAUGGCUCAUUGGGCGUGGCGUGGGGAAGCCUCAGAUUUCUAGACUAUUUAACUGUGUUCGUAUGAAUAUUGUUCUAUUUGAUGAAGUCAUGAUUUCUGCCCAGAUCCAAGCUUCCAGAGAGCAGGAAGACAAGUUGUCUACUUCCCCCCAAGCUGCAUGUUUUGCUUUUGUGGUCUCUGUGUCAUUCCAGGCUAAGCCUUGUAACAAUCUGACUGGGCCAAUGAUCAAAGCCAGUUUUUGUACUCUCAACACAUCCCAACAAUGGGAGGUAGGAGGGACCACACAGAUGCUUCCAAAAUGUUGAACCGCGAGAAGGAAUAGAGAGUUUCUCUAACAUGCUGAUAUCGAUAUGGUCUGCAGACUAUUUCGGUUCCUAGGCUUAUAAUACCUCUUUUAACUCAAGAAAAUAAGGAAACGAUCUUUCCUGAGAUGCCAUUUUUCCCUGUGGCCUUUCUGGAGACGUCCACACGACCCAGAGGCAGGGGUGUCUUAGCGAAGCGGCGGCCAUCUUGCCCCACCUGUUAGCAGAAGGAAACAGCCCUCCCUUCUCCUCUAUACUUGGAACAAGUGGUGUAAAAGGUAAC